GACCGGGUACCCGAGGGGCUCAGGGAGCUGUCUGCAAAACAGCUUACGUGGGUUCGAAUCCCAUCCCGGUCU
rnacentral:tRNA from 1 species